UGGGGUGUCGCUCAGUGGUAGAGCACUGGCCUUGUGUGCAAGGCCCUGGGUUCUAGCCCCGAGUGCCCCAA
rnacentral:tRNA from 1 species